rnacentral:rRNA from 1 species
UACGGAGGGUGCGAGCGUUGUUCGGAAUUACUGGGCGUAAAGGGCUCGUAGGCGGCCAACUAAGUCAGACGUGAAAUCCCUCGGCUUAACCGGGGAACUGCGUCUGAUACUGGUUGGCUUGAAUCCGGGAGAGGGAUGUGGAAUUCCAGGUGUAGCGGUGAAAUGCGUAGAUAUCUGGAGGAACACCGGUGGCGAAGGCGGCAUCCUGGACCGGUAUUGACGCUGAGGAGCGAAAGCCAGGGGAGCAAACGGG